rnacentral:tRNA from 1 species
UGCAUAGUAGCUCAGUAGGUAGAGCAGCGGACUGUUAAUCCGUUGGUCACUGGUUCGAGCCCAUUCUAGGCAGCCA